rnacentral:snRNA from 1 species
GUGCUCACUUCAGCAGCACAUACACUAAAAUUGGAAUGAUACAGAGAAGAUUAACAUAGCUCCUGUGCAAGGAUGACAUGCAAAUUUGUGAAGCGUUCCAUAUUUUU